rnacentral:rRNA from 1 species
CCUACGGGGGGUGCAGUGGGGAAUAUUGGACAAUGGGGGCAACCCUGAUCCAGCCAUGCCGCGUGUGUGAAGAAGGCCCUCGGGUUGUAAAGCACUUUCAGUGAGGAAGAACGCCUGGUGGUUAAUACCCAUCAGGAAAGACAUCACUCACAGAAGAAGCACCGGCUAACUCCGUGCCAGCAGCCGCGGUAAUACGGAGGGUGCGAGCGUUAAUCGGAAUUACUGGGCGUAAAGCGCGCGUAGGUGGCUUGAUAAGCCGGUUGUGAAAGCCCCGGGCUCAACCUGGGAACGGCAUCCGGAACUGUCAAGCUAGAGUGCAGGAGAGGAAGGUAGAAUUCCCGGUGUAGCGGUGAAAUGCGUAGAGAUCGGGAGGAAUACCAGUGGCGAAGGCGGCCUUCUGGACUGACACUGACACUGAGGUGCGAAAGCGUGGGUAGCAAACAGGAUUAGAUACCCUUGUAGUC